rnacentral:rRNA from 1 species
UACGUAGGGGGCAAGCGUUGUCCGGAUUUAUUGGGCGUAAAGCGCGUGUAGGCGGCCAACUAAGUCGGAUGUGAAAUCCCCAGGCUUAACCUGGGAACUGCAUCCGAUACUGGAUGGCUUGAAUUCGGGAGAGGGAUGCAGAAUUCCAGGUGUAGCGGUGAAAUGCGUAGAUAUCUGGAGGAAUACCGGUGGCGAAGGCGGCAUCCUGGACCGACAUUGACGCUGAGGAGCGAAAGCUAGGGGAGCAAACGGG